CCUACGGGAGGCAGCAGUGGGGAAUAUUGCUCAAUGGCGGGAACCCUGAUGCAGCGACGUCGCGUGAGCGAUGAAGUAUCUCUGUAUGGUAAGCUCCAUCAGCAGGGGAGAAAAUGACGGUACCUGUCUAAUAAUCCCCGUCUAACUACGUGCCAGCAGCCGCGGUAAUAUGGAGGGGGCAAGCGUUAUCCGGAUUUACCGGGUGUAAAGGGAGGCUAUAGGGGUGUGCAGGUCUGGAGUGAAAGGGAUGGGCUGAACCUGUGGAGUGCCUUGGAAACUGUGCGGCUUGAGUGUAGGAGAGGCAAGUGGAAUACGUAGUGUAGCGGUGAAAUGCGUAGAUAUUAGGAAGAACACCAGUGGCGAAGGCAGCUUGCUGGACGGUGACUGACGUUGAGGCUCGAAAGCGUGGGGAGCAAACAGGAUUAGAUACCCGAGUAGUC
rnacentral:rRNA from 1 species